CCUACGGGAGGCAGCAGUGGGGAAUAUUGGACAAUGGGGGGAACCCUGAUCCAGCCAUGCCGCGUGUGUGAAGAAGGCCCUCGGGUUGUAAAGCACUUUCAGUGAGGAAGAACGCCUGGUGGUUAAUACCCAUCAGGAAAGACAUCACUCACAGAAGAAGCACCGGCUAACUCCGUGCCAGCAGCCGCGGUAAUACGGAGGGUGCGAGCGUUAAUCGGAAUUACUGGGCGUAAAGCGCGCGUAGGUGGCUUGAUAAGCCGGUUGUGAAAGCCCCGGGCUCAACCUGGGAACGGCAUCCGGAACUGUCAAGCUAGAGUGCAGGAGAGGAAGGUAGAAUUCCCGGUGUAGCGGUGAAAUGCGUAGAGAUCGGGAGGAAUACCAGUGGCGAAGGCGACCUUCUGGACUGACACUGACACUGAGGUGCGAAAGCGUGGGUAGCAAACAGGAUUAGAUACCCUAGUAGUC
rnacentral:rRNA from 1 species